AUAUCAAUAAGCGGAGGAAAAGAAACUAACAAGGAUUCCCCUAGUAACUGCGAGUGAAGCGGGAAAAGCUCAAAUUUAAAAUCUGGUGGUCUUUGGCCAUCCGAGUUGUAAUCUAGAGAAGUGUUAUCCGCGCUGGACCGUGUACAAGUCCCCUGGAAUGGGGCGUCAUAGAGGGUGAGAAUCCCGUCUUUGACACGGACUACCAGGGCUUUGUGAUGCACUCUCAAAGAGUCGAGUUGUUUGGGAAUGCAGCUCAAAAUGGGUGGUAAAUUCCAUCUAAAGCUAAAUAUUGGCGAGAGACCGAUAGCGAACAAGUACCGUGAGGGAAAGAUGAAAAGAACUUUGGAAAGAGAGUUAAACAGUACGUGAAAUUGUUGAAAGGGAAACGCUUGAAGUCAGUCGCGUCUGCCAGGGAUCAACCUUACUUUUGUGAGGCGUACUUCCUGGUUGAUGGGUCAGCAUCAGUUUUGGUUGCUGGAUAAAGGUCAGAGAAAUGUGGCACCUUCGGGUGUGUUAUAGUCUUUGAUCAGAUACAGUGGCUGGGACUGAGGAACUCAGCGCCGCAAGGCUGUCUUAGGAUGCUGGCAAAAUGGCUUUAAUCGACCCGUCUUGAAACACGGACCAAGGAGUCUAACAUGCCUGCGAGUGUUUGGGUGGAAAACCCGAGCGCGUAAUGAAAGUGAAAGUUGGGAUCCUUGUCAUGGGGAGCACCGACGCCCAUACCAGAAGUUUACGGACGGAUAUGCGGUGGAGCAUGUAUGUUGGGACCCGAAAGAUGGUGAACUAUGCCUGAAUAGGGCGAAGCCAGAGGAAACUCUGGUGGAGGCUCGUAGCGAUUCUGACGUGCAAAUCGAUCGUCGAAUUUGGGUAUAGGGGGCGAAAGACUAAUCGAACCAUCUAGUAGCUGGUUCCUGCC
rnacentral:rRNA from 1 species